GAUUUUUAAAUAUUUUGAUGCCAAGGUCCCACCCUGGAUGGACUGAAUCAGAAUCUCUGGGAGUGAGAUAAGGAGACUGAAGCAUCUAGAGUGGAAGUAAUUUCUACAAGAUCACAGGCUUCCUCCUCCAGUGCAACUUAUCCAAAGGGUUCAGACCUUGAGAUGGCUCAUUCCUUCUCAGUCAUAAAGGAGAAAACUCAGAAGAUAUUUAUGAACAAAGAGUUGAAGGCAGCUUGUUGUGAUCCAAGGCAGAUGAUUAUUUAGAGCGGUAAGACCUCUAAACUUCGG